AAUACUUUGCUUCUCCGACCCUGUGGUCCUAAGGGCUUGCUCAAGUAGCGAGCCUAUGGCAGCUGGGCGAUAGGGUAUAGCCGGAAACAGCUAUGCCUGCCGUGUUUGCAAAGGAGGGGCCGUCAGCGAGAG
rnacentral:ncRNA from 2 species